AUGACCUCCUCAGUACUACUGUUGUUACUGAUAGCAGCAUUCGGUAGUGUAGACUGUGUGGAGCUCACUCAGUCUGCUUCUAAGGUAGUAAAACCUGGAGAAUCGUUCUCCAUCUCCUGUAAGACCUCAGAGUCGAGCUACUGUAUUCACUGGAUACGGCAGCCUGCUGGGAAAGCACUGGAAUGGCUUGGAUAUCUCUGUAGCCUUGGUGGCACUAAUAUCAAAGACACAGUGAAGAGCAAGAUCAGUUUCAGUCAGGACACGUCCAGCAGCACAGUGUUUUUACAAGGCCAGAACUUUCAGUCAGAGGACACAGCUGUUUAUUACUGCGCCAGAGAGCCACAGCCUGUGGAGAACAGAGAAGAUCCCACAGGUCCAACUUCAACACCAACCAUGUUCUCUACAUCUCUACUGCUCCUGCUGGCAGCUGCAUCCUGUGUUCACUGUUAUGAACUGACCCAGCCUGGUUCCAAGGUUGUCCGUCCAGGCCAGAGUCUGACCAUCGACUGCAAGGUCUCAUAUUCUGUUACAA